rnacentral:rRNA from 1 species
GAGAGUUAAACAGUACGUGAAAUUGUUGAAAGGGAAACGAUUGAAGUCAGUCAUGCCGGCGUUGGAUUCAGCUUGCUUCGCGGAGCUUGCGCAUUUCCUCGCAUGGCAGGUCAGCGUCAGUUUUGCGCGGCGUGAAAAGGCUCGGGUAAGGUAGCUCUCUUCGGGGAGUGUUAUAGACCUGGGCAAAUGCGCAGCGCGGGACUGAGGAUUGCAGCGGACACCUCUUCGGAGGCGCGGCGACCGAACCCUGCUCGGCCACCCUCGUUCGAUAGCGUGCUAACGGACGCGGGAGCGGCAGUGCACCGGAACAGGCAAGCCAGCGGUUCGCUUAGGAUGCUGACGUAAUGGCUUUAAACGA